rnacentral:rRNA from 1 species
UACGGAAGGCAGCAGUGGGGAAUAUUGCACAAUGGGCGCAAGCCUGAUGCAGCCAUGCCGCGUGUAUGAAGAAGGCCUUCGGGUUGUAAAGUACUUUCAGUCGUGAGGAAGGUGUUAAGGUUAAUAACCUUAGCAAUUGACGUUAGCGACAGAAGAAGCACCGGCUAACUCCGUGCCAGCAGCCGCGGUAAUACGGAGGGUGCGAGCGUUAAUCGGAAUUACUGGGCGUAAAGGGCACGCAGGCGGUUAAUUAAGUUGGAUGUGAAAUCCCCGGGCUUAACCUGGGAAUGGCAUUCAAGACUGGUUAGCUAGAGUCUUGUAGAGGGGGUAGAAUUCCAUGUGUAGCGGUGAAAUGCGUAGAGAUGUGGAGGAAUACCGGUGGCGAAGGCGGCCCCUGGGACAAAGACUGACGCUCAUGUGCGAAAGCGUGGGGAGCAAAAC